GCCGGAGUGGCGGAAUGGCAGACGCACCUGACUCAAAAUCAGGCGGGUAACACCGUGUGGGUUCAAGUCCCACCCCCGGCA
rfam:Megasphaera sp. BV3C16-1 contig00005, whole genome shotgun sequence.